rnacentral:rRNA from 1 species
AUUGAACGCUGGCGGCAUGCUUUACACAUGCAAGUCGAACGGUAACAGGCCGCAAGGUGCUGACGAGUGGCGAACGGGUGAGUAAUGCAUCGGAACGUGCCCAGUCGUGGGGGAUAACUACUCGAAAGAGUAGCUAAUACCGCAUACGAUCUAUGGAUGAAAGCGGGGGACCGUAAGGCCUCGCGCGAUUGGAGCGGCCGAUGUCAGAUUAGGUAGUUGGUGGGGUAAAGGCUCACCAAGCCAACGAUCUGUAGCUGGUCUGAGAGGACAACCAGCCACACUGGGACUGAGACACGGCCCAGACUCCUACGGGAGGCAGCAGUGGGGAAUUUUGGACAAUGGGCGCAAGCCUGAUCCAGCAAUGCCGCGUGAAGGAAGAAGGCCUUCGGGUUGUAAACUGCUUUUGUACGGAACGAAACGGCUCUGGUUAAUACCCGGGGCUAAUGACGGUACCGUAAGAAUAAGCACCGGCUAACUACGUG